rfam:Nakamurella multipartita DSM 44233, complete genome.
UGAGUCCGCCGGGCGACCGCGGUCGGCCAUCCCCGGUCUGACCGGGGUGAACCGGUCGAGGAAAGUCCGGGCUCCACAGGGCAGGGUGGUUGCUAACGGCAACCCGGCGUGAGCCGCGGGAUAGUGCCACAGAGAACAGACCGCCAGGCACCCUCGGGUGCCCGGUGAGGGUGAAACGGUGGUGUAAGAGACCACCAGCGCCCCGGGUGACCGGGGCGGCUCGGUAAACCCCACCCGGAGCAAGGUCGAAAAGCCACGUCCGGAACGGACGGGGUGCGCAGGCGUUCGAGGGCAGCCCGCCCGAGCCUGCGGGUGGACCGCUGGAGCGUGCCGGCAACGGUACGUCGAGAUGGAUGGUCGCCGAACGGGAUCGCCGCGAGGCGCCCGUGAACAGAACCCGGCUUACAUGGCGGACUCAUCCC